rnacentral:rRNA from 1 species
GGUCAAGUUAUUAAGGGUGCAGGGCGGAUGCCUUGGCACUAGGAGCCGAUGAAGGACGUGAUAAGCUGCGAUAAGCUUCGGGGAGUUGCACGUAAACUUUGAUCCGAAGAUUUCCGAAUGAGGAAACUCACUUAGAGUAAUGUCUAAGUAUCAUUAAGUGAAUACAUAGCUUAAUGAGGGGAACUCAGGGAACUGAAACAUCUAAGUACCUGAAGGAAGAGAAAGAAAUUCGAUUCCGUAAGUAGCGGCGAGCGAACGCGGAUUAGCCCAAACCAAUAAAGUUUUCUUUAUUGGGGUUGCGGACAUAUCAUAACGAAGAGGUAUCGUAAUUGAAGAGGUUUGGAAAGACCCACCACAGAAGGUAAUAGUCCUGUAUGUUAAACGAGAAGACUUUAGAUAUGAUCCAGAGUACCACGGGACACGUGAAACCCUGUGGGAAGCAGGAGGGACCACCCUCCAAGGCUAAAUACUACCUAGUGACCGAUAGCGUAUAGUACCGUGAGGGAAAGGUGAAAAGAACCCCGGGAGGGGAGUGAAAUAGAACCUGAAACCCUGCACUUACAAGCUGUGGAAGCACAUUUCUUGUGUGACCGCGUACUUUUUGUAGAACGGGCCAACGAGUUACGUUAAGUAGCAAGGUUAAGCACUUAAGGUGCGGAGCCGUAGCGAAAGCGAGUUUUAACUGAGCGUUCAGUUACUUGACGUAGACCCGAAACCGGGCGACCUACCCAUGAGCAGGAUGAAGCGAAAGUAAAAUUUCGUGGAGGUCCGAACCCACGAGCGUUGAAAAGCUCGGGGAUGACUUGUGGGUAGCGGUGAAAUUCCAAUCGAGCCCGGAGAUAGCUGGUUCUCCCCGAAAUAGCUUUAGGGCUAGCCUCAAGGUGAGAGAUACGGAGGUAGAGCACUGAAUGUCCUAGGGGGUAUUGCACCUACCGAAGACUAUCAAACUCCGAAUGCCGUCAUCUUAUACUUGGGAGUCAGACUGUGGGUGAUAAGAUUCAUAGUCGAAAGGGCAACAGCCCAGAUCGUCAGCUAAGGUCCCUAAAUGUAAGUUAAGUGGUAAAGGAUGUGGGAUUGCACAGACAACCAGGAUGUUGGCUUAGAAGCAGCCACUCAUUCAAAGAGUGCGUAAUAGCUCACUGGUCGAGUGAUCCUGCGCCGAAGAUUUCCGGGGCUAAAACUUACUACCGAAGCUACGGCAUCAGUAA